GGCUAGGCUCAAGGAGUUCAAGGAGCAAAGGUCUUGGAGGUGGUCUAUCCUUGGUCUAAGAUCUAGAUCAAGAGGUAUAAAACAACUCCUAAACUUUGUUCUUCACUAAAAUGUUUUGAUGCAUCAUAUAUAAACCUAUACAUCUUGAAGGGGAUUUGCAUGACUAUAGCUUUGAUAUUAUUUGAUAACAUGCUUCCGUUGCUUUUGUAUAUAAAUUUUGAAUUGUAUAUGCUUGCUAGUCACUAGAAAUUCCAUAUGAAUCUCAUAGAUUUCCCUUCAAGUGGUAUCAAAGCCAAAGGUUUAUAUUUGAUGUGUCCUUUUGGAUUUUAUGCAUAUGGGUUUUAAUUUUAAUGUAUGACAUGUUAUUGCUUCAUUCAAAGUAUGUUUAUCUUUUGUUUUUCAAUAGUUGAAAAAUGUGAAUCAAUAGUUGAGAAAGAUAUGUAUGCAAAAAGUGUUUUGUAUGCAUGAAUGAAGAAUGAGUUUAGAACAAAUUUUGGGGUUUUGACUCUUUGGGAGGGCACGGCAAAAAGGGGAUUUUGGCUAUGUGUUUGUGUUUUUAUUUUGAAUCACACACACACACUUUAAAGCUAGAAAGUAGAGUCCUUGUCACUUUUGUUUUUGGGUUUGAAAAAUCACCAAGAAUAUACAAAUCUUGAAAAUGUGUUCAUGGUUUUGUUCUUGGUGUUCAUGGUUUGGUUUUUGGUGAAAAUGGUUUUAUUUGGUUUUCAUGCAUUGUUUUGUGGUUUUGGAUGAUGUACAUACCAUCCAUAGCCAUAUCAAAAAUUUUAAAAUCCUAGACUUGACUAGGAGAUUUCCAUCACCCCUUUUCACUAAAGUCUUUAAAGCCAAAACCAAGUGACAAGCAAAAUUUAAUUUUUCUACUUUAACUUGGUUUAUUGCAAUAUGGGUGAGACUUCCCAUCCUCCCCUUAAUGUGGCCGGCCUCCCCUAGUGGAUUACCCACUUGUGGGGUUUUUUGUAAUUUGGAAAAAGAUAUUUUUACUUUUGAGUAUUUACGGUUUGACCCCUAACUUUUUCAUAUUUGCAUUUAGGCCCCUACUAACUA
rnacentral:lncRNA from 1 species